GCUUAACGCGAAGAACCUUACCACCUUUUGACAUGCCCGGACCGCCACAGAGAUGUGGCUUUCCCUUCGGGGACUGGGACACAGGUGCUGCAUGGCUGCCGUCAGCUCGUGUCGUGAGAUGUUGGGUUAAGUCCCGCAACGAGCGCAACCCUCGCCAUUAGUUGCCAUCAUUCAGUUGGGCACUCUAAUGGGACUGCCGGUGCUAAGCCGGAGGAAGGUGGGGAUGACGUCAAGUCCUCAUGGCCCUUACAGGGUGGGCUACACACGUGCUACAAUGGCGACCACAGAGGGCUGCAAACCAGCGAUGGUGAGCCAAUCCCUAAAAGUCGUCUCAGUUCGGAUUGUUCUCUGCAACUCGAGAGCAUGAAGUUGGAAUCGCUAGUAAUCGCGGAUCAGCAUGCCGCGGUGAAUACGUUCCCGGGUCUUGUACACACCG
rnacentral:rRNA from 1 species